UUUCCGUAGGUGAACCUGCGGAAGGAUCAUUACAGAGUUCAUGCCCUCACGGGUAGAUCUCCCACCCUUGAGUAUUUAUACCUUAGUUGCUUUGGCAGGCCGUGGAAACACCAUGGGCUCCGGCUUAUGCGUGCCUGCCAGAGGAAACAAACUCUGUUUUUUGUGAUGUCUGAGUACUAUAUAAUAGUUAAAACUUUCAACAACGGAUCUCUUGGUUCUG
rnacentral:misc_RNA from 1 species